rnacentral:rRNA from 1 species
UCUCUCUGAAUCUGCGAACGGCUCCGCACACCAGUUGUACACCAAAGCAAGCAAGCCCGGUCUCGACGCCUUUCGGGGCUAGGGGCCGGGCUACAAGGAUAACCCUGGUAAUUCUGAGGCUAAUACUUGACACCUAACCUGUCGACUGGGUCUCGGCCCGGGAAGCGGGGGAUGUGCGACUAUCGGGCCAAAGAAACCGGAAAGAGCGCACGUUCAGACCACUUAAAAAGGCCACGGGGUCCCUCGGGAUCUCGGGGCUGUGGCUCUUGCAGCGUGCUUCUGACCUAUCAACUAGACGGCAGCCUAAGGGACAUGCUUUGGUGACAACGGGUACAGAGGAUAAGGGUUCGAUCCUGGAGAGUGGGCCUGAGAGAUG